rnacentral:rRNA from 1 species
UACAGAGGUCUCAAGCGUUGUUCGGAUUCAUUGGGCGUAAAGGGUGCGUAGGCGGCGCGGUAAGUCGGGUGUGAAAUCUCGGAGCUUAACUCCGAAACUGCAUUCGAUACUGCCGUGCUUGAGGACUGGAGAGGAGACUGGAAUUUACGGUGUAGCGGUGAAAUGCGUAGAUAUCGUGAGGAAGACCAGUGGCGAAGGCGGGUCUCUGGACAGUUCCUGACGCUGAGGCACGAAAGCGUGGGGAGCAAACAGG